rnacentral:rRNA from 1 species
CAAUAGCGUAUAUUAAAGUUGUUGCAGUUAAAAAGCUCGUAGUUGGAUUUCUGUGAGAGUGCCGGUGUCGGCUGAUGCUUGUACGCAGGCGCUCUUACAUCCUUCUGUUAACUGUUCUUGGCAUUUUAUUGCUGGUUCAGGGCUCAGAUAUUUUACCUUGAGAAAAUUAGAGUGUCUCAGGCAGGCUUAUGCCGGAAUACAUUAGCAUGGAAUAAUGGAACAGGACCUGUGCGUCUCUCGGGGCGCCGGUCUCCGUUGUUGGUUUCGGGGACUAAUGUAAUGAUUAAUAGGGAUAGUUGGGGGCAUUAGUAUUUAAUAGUCAGAGGUGAAAUUCUCGGAUUUGUUAAAGACUAACUUAUGCGAAAGCAUUUGCCAAGGAUGUUUUCAUUAA